AUAAUUUGUUUUCUUUUAUAUUAAAGAGAGAAAAAUUGACAUUUUUACUGAUGAGUCUCUUUUGGAGUUUUCCCCUAGGAUUCAUCUGAUGAAAAAUCCUUUAUUAGGAAAAUGCAUCCUAGGAAGGCCACACUGUCAGCUUAUAAGGAAGCUCUGCCAUGGGGCUGAGGGAAAUACGAAGGCUUCGGUUGGUCUCAGAUCAUCAGGCUUUGGGGAACAGGAGCAGUUACAAAAUACUCUGACGCAGGAGUAAUUAGAAAACGUAUUAACCCAGCCAAAAAGGAGGGGUCAAGGUUCUCCCCCAAGGAAGGGCAGGCAGUAACACAAAACAGACGAACACAGACUCCCAAUGCGGUGCACUUCUGGGAGGAUCAGCCCUCAGGCCCAGCCCCAGGAUGAGAGCCGGCUCCUCGGUUUCACCGCCCUCAAACGCCCUCGACUGUGGAAUGAACGAGACUCACUGGUACCCGUUUUCAAGGCCAGCUCAGCAGUACGGGUCAUAUGAAGUCCCUGUGAAGUCCUCGUGAAAGACGGCCAGGAGAUUUAAA